rnacentral:rRNA from 1 species
CCUACGGGGGGCUGCAGUGGGGAAUUUUGGACAAUGGGCGCAAGCCUGAUCCAGCCAUUCCGCGUGAGUGAAGAAGGCCUUCGGGUUGUAAAGCUCUUUCGCAAGGGAAGAAAACUUAUCCUCUAACAUAGGAUGAGGUUGACGGUACCUUGAUAAGAAGCACCGGCUAACUACGUGCCAGCAGCCGCGGUAAUACGUAGGGUAGUAGCGGGCGUAGGAAUUACUGGGCCUGGUGCGUAAGUCAGAUGUGAAAUCCCCGAGCUCAACUUGGGAACUGCGUUUGAAACUACAAGACUAGAAUAGGUCAGAGGGGGGUAGAAUUCCACGUGUAGCAGUGAAAUGCGUAGAGAUGUGGAGGAAUAUCAAUGGCGAAGGCAGCCCCCUGGGAUCAUAUUGACGCUCAUGCACGAAAGCGUGGGGAGCAAACAGGAUUAGAUACCCUAGUAGUC